AUGGCAUCUCCCUCGGAUGCAUGCCCGGCAACGAGUGGCGGGUCACGGGCAAAUCGAAUAGGUGACCUGGAUGACUUUUUUGGGCAACUUGACCUUGAAGACGAAGUUUUCGACGAUCUGGUAAUUGACGAGGAGAUCCCAGAGAUCAAUGAACGCGUUAGGUGGAUGGCUCUUGCUCGUGUCCAUACCGACAAGACCUUCAGCCAAGCGGCGUUCUUCAAAGACAUGAGGGCAGCGUGGAACCUGGCGCAACCAGUGAAAUUCAAGCCGAAGGGGGCCAACCUGUUCGUCGUGCAGGCAUCUUGUCUAGGCGACUCAGAACGAAUUAUGUACCAAGGACCGUGGUUGUUCAGAUUUUGGGCAGUGUUGUUGCAUCCUUACAAUGGUUUCAGUCGAGUUGAGGACAUGCAGCUGGUUCAUAUGCCGAUAUGGCUA
rnacentral:rRNA from 1 species